AGGACGAACGCUGGCGGCGCGCUUAACACAUGCAAGUCGAACGGAGUCCUUCGGGGCUCAGUGGCGAACGGGUGCGUAACACGUGAGUGACCUGCCCUUGUGUGGGGAUAACCCGGGAAAACCCGGGCUAAUACCGCAUACGUUCCAUCGGAUUAGAGGCUGAUGGAGGAAAGGUGCUGCAAGGCAUCGCGCAGGGAGGGGCUCGCGGCGUAUCAGGUAGUUGGUGAGGUAACGGCUCACCAAGCCGAUGACGCGUAGGGGGUCUGAGAGGAUCGGCCCCCCACAUUGGGACUGAGAUACGGCCCAGACCUCCGUACGGGAGGCAGCAGGUGGGAAUCGUGCGCGAAUGGACCGAAGGCUGACGCAGCGACGCCGCGUGCGGAUGACGUCGUUUUCGGAGUCGUAAACCGCUGUCGAGGUAGGGAAGGAACGGGUCCCGGGAAGGAAACGUGGU
rnacentral:rRNA from 1 species